CGGGGAGAGCGGCUCGGGGCGGCCGGACCCGCGGCGGUUGCUAAGAGACCGGAGCCAUGACACAGGGAAAUCGCUGCAGGAUGGCAGUCGGUACCCGGCCCGGCUAGGCGGCUCGGGGGCGCACCCGCCCCCCGCCCCGCCCCGCCUCCCGCCUCCUCCCUGGCUCCCGUCUCCCCGCCUCGCCGGUCUCCCCCUCCACACUUCCUCUCCCGCCGGCGCGCGUCCCUUCGGAAGAACCGCUUCCCCAGGAACGAGGAGGCGCGAGGGGAGGCGGAGGAGGGGGCCCGGGCCGGGGGCGCGCGGAGAGGGCAGGGCGCGGGGCGCCUCAGCCUCGGCCCUCCCCGCCCCUGGGGCGCCCCGGGACCGCCGCCUGCCCGGGGCUGGAGCUUUGUUCUUUCCCUCCCAACUACCUGUCUGAGCCGCGGGCCGGAGGGUCCCCAAAGGACGGGCCGCUGCUCCCGGAGGGGCUCCCCAUCAACAUCCGAGGGUAGCGCCCGCGUCUCCUUGCCUCCCUGCCACCCCGCCUCUCCUCUCCUCUCUUCCUCUUUUGUUGCCUCGACUCCUGGACACGACACAGCCUGCGCUGUCUCCCCCCUCCCACUCGGGAGUUGGCAGUGUGGACGCACAGCGAACACAGCCUGAACAUCUGUAAUAAUCUAAAUAGCCUUUUUCCUGCUAACAAUCAGCUCAGAAGCACUCUCACUUUCUGACAGCAUCAAAGACACUUGAGUCAUUGAACCGCAUCUCACCAGGGUGUCAGGGAUGGUUGGCUUAUCUGGAUUCUGGAUGCUUUUUCCAUCUGCAGCAGCAGCUCCUUCCGACCACAUGACCUUGAGUGAGUUGUUUAACACCCUCCUGAACCUGAGUUUUAUCACCUUCUGAUCGAACUAAGGUCACAUCACGCAUCUUCCCAGGCUCUUCUGAACAUCCAGAUUAGCUAAUACCGAAGACAUCACUUGGAAGCCAGAAAGCUCCCUCCAGUGUAUUAAUAACUUAGAUCCUCCUGGCUGAUGAGAAUAGUAGGACCACAGUGAAUCACAUGUGGCCCCAGGAGCUGGCUUUCAAGGUCAAUUCUCAGGUAUCUUUUGUAGCAUUUAAAAAUGAGUGACAUGCAAAAGCAUUAGGGGUUUUCUUAACAAGGUUAUUC
rnacentral:lncRNA from 1 species